GUAGAAUACUCUUCAAGCCAAUAAAAAUGGAGGUAAUCAGAUAAUUGAGACUGGAAUGAUGCUUUGUUUAAUUUCAACAAAUCACGCCGAAUUCUCUUCAGUUUAGGUCAGAUGGUUUGAAGACUGGCACAACCAAAGACUGAUGACUUGAUCUUACUGCAUGGAUAGAUAGAAACAGUCAGAUUCACUCCUAAAUUGAAGGGGGAAACUUCAUUAUUCACAGGUUGUUCACCAGCUUGCAGUAACCAUGGCAACAGAACUAGAUGUGUUGAAGGAGAUUCCAGGUUAUAAAGCCAUUCUGAAAUCUGUCCUCAAGUCACAAAUUCAGAUGUUGAUGGAGCAAUUGUCUGACCAGACUGGGGAAGAAUCAAUCAUUCUCACAGCAAGUGUACAUGAUGGUUCCCUGUCUCAUUUAGGUUCCAGUACCGGCAAGGGGUUCCUUGAAGGACGGGAUGAAAUCAAGGCACAGUUCCUAGGAUAUUGUCUCAAAAGUCAGCAUAGAAAGGAGUCGAUGGAGGCAGAGUCUCAGCAGUAUAGUCGAAGUCGCACCUUGAUGCCACCAGCCAGGCGUCAGCGGCCCCGUAUUCGCCCAGCACCUUACUCCAUAUCAUCUCCUGGAUCGAGCACUUCUGUAACCUCAGCGCCAUCAUUCCCGAUGUCUUCUCAGCAUGCAAUAACCAGUAUGAAACAGGGCAAUAACAUUAACAUGACAUUAAAAUCUGAAACUGCCGAUGCUUCGGAUAACUUUCUAGACUCGGUUACUGCCGAAGGGGACAAUGAAUUCCCAGGAGCAGAUGAUUCUGGUCUUGCAAACCAGGCGGGCAAUCCUAAUGAAUCAUUUGAUUCUAGUCAAUCGUCUAGCCAGGAUGAUGUGGGUGAUUCCGUCCAAACUGUCAAAAUAGAACCCCAAGGCAAUAAUAAUGACGUAGAGGUAACUGGCGUGGAAAUGGGAGAUAACUCCUUGUCAUCAUCAGACAAUUGGGGCCAGAGUUACGGUUCCUCGGGACAGAAUGAUGGAAACCAGGCAGAUCAAAAUUCAUAUAAUGGGUCUGAGCAGACACAGGAAGUUGCGACGUCACAUAACGUCAAUUUUGGCGGGAUCGCGUUUCCUGGUCUCGAUAACGCGCAUCACGACUUUUCCUCGAGGAUGUUGCCAGAUAUGUCGCCAGCCGAUCUGAAACAAGCACUGUAUCCUCAAGGUAACAUUCUUAAUAAUUCUUCGCUUGAUAUAGAUCAGUUCUCGCCACCACAGAGGAAAGGAUCUUUGUACUGGUGUGUUGUUUGCAAUAAAUCAUUACAAAAUAAAAAUCUCUAUGAAUAUCACAUUAACGCACAUGCGGGUGUUCGACCGUUUGAAUGUGAAAUUUGUAAUCGGAAAUUUGGCAGCAAGCAAGUUUUACAGACGCAUCAGCGGUUGCACAGUGGUGAGAGACCAUUUAAGUGUUCAAAACCAGGUUGUGAUCGAUCGUUCACGGCUAGGAGUGGGCUUGUAUACCAUAUGAAUAAACACCAUAGUGAGUGAAAUUGAAUAAUAGACAAAUUAAUACAGGACCAGAAAAGACAUUGGUAUCAAUUUAAAACUACACAGACUGGAUGUGAAAUUGAACAUGAAGAGAACCAGUGUAUUAGUUGAGUUCCAGGGAAACAGUAUGUUACACAGAUUCGAGGAAAGAUGUUUUCAUGUUGGAACUUUGCUGAACACUUCAGGAGCAGUUUUGUGAUGUAAAGUAGCAGAGAUAUUAGCAAAUGACAUGCUUAUUACCGAAGACUGUUGUGUGAUCAUUUAAUUUCGUUGGCGUAAAAUUUUUGUGGUUUUGGCCAUAUUGGCUAUUUUAAUUUUUAUAAGGCAAUGAAUUGGUAGGUUUCAGUAUUUGAAAAUAAAAUUAAUGGGACUUUUUAUUUGUUUAACAGGAUUUUAAGAAUGGACUGGAACACAAAAUCCACGAAAUUUGUUGCCAACAAAUAUUACAAUUUCACCGUAUGAGUCAUUUGAUAUUUGGCUGCAUGUGAUAAUGUUGCAGCUAGAAGUUAAUUUAAUGUAGUUCUGCAUAUCUGGAUCAAAUGUUUGUCAGAAAUACAGAAUUAAAGGCACUAACCUCCGGAACAUACGACAACAACAAAAAAAAAAGAGAAAAGUUUUUAGAUAUCACAGAAAUAUUGAUAUAUUUCUUAAGAAGGCAUUGAAACUUUAAGUUACUGACAGAUUAUAAGUUUGGAAACAUAAAAACUAGUUGUUUUUGCUUAUUUUCUCCAUUCAAAAUUGUAAAGAGUUUGUAACAAAGGUAAAUUGCCAUACUCGAAAAGCUUUAUAUUUACCAGCUGUUAUCCUCCAUGGUGCAUUGGUCAGAAAAAAAAUUUAUUGCCGCGGCGACCUGUGUUUUGAAUUCCGACUCGGGUAUGUUUUUUUUUUUAUUCUGAUUGGGCAUUUUUAGGUUAGUUGAGAAACAAAAUUUUAUGUUUUGAUGUUCAUAAUAUGUGCAAACUUCAAUUUUAAAGAAAGAUCAGUUUUAAGUCAAAAUCUGGAGGUCAGUGCCUUUAAAUUCAUCCUUCAUAUUUCUGAAACUUGAGGAUGUCCUUGACAGAAAGGGUUGUGCACUGUAUGGGUACUUUUAUUUCUUUGGUUAUAUUAUUUCCUGGGCUUAAGAGGGUGCAAAUUUAUGACUUUAGAGGAUAUUACAUUUGAAUUAUUCAAUAUUGACAAUAAUUUUGACAUUUUUUUUACUGUAAGCUGUAUUUUUUGCCUGAAUGAGCAUAGAUGAAAAUUAAUGAAUCCAUGAAUUUAUUUUCAAGCAAAUAUCACAGAUAUUCAUGACUUUUUCAUGACGCUUGACAUCAGAGUUCGAUUUGUUAGCGCAGCAAAUUUAAGUACACAUACAGUAGUGUGUUUGCUGUUUUUUUUGAGAGUGUAUCUGAUUUUUCACAAGAGUUUCAGUUGUACUAUUUAUUAACCAGCCCAUUUUGUGAAAUACAAACCUUAAUAAAAUGAUGUAUUGUGCCAAAAAUAUGAAAAUGUGUCAGCCAGUUGCUUUAAAGAAGGAAGUAAUUGUGUCUGAAGUACUUUUGUUUUAAUGAAAAAGUUGAUAUACAUUCUUGGCUACAGAGAUGAGAGAAAAAAAACCUUUUGGCCAUUUUUAGCUCGAUUUUUCGAAGAAAAUGUAGAGGUAUUGCACUCACCCCAGCGUUGGUGUCGCCAUUGGUUAAAGUUUUUGAUAGAGUAAAAAAUCUCUUGUUGCUAUCAGAGCUAUUGACUUGAAACUUAAAAUAGUUAUUUACUAUCACAGUCUUCACCAGGAGAAACGAUCCUCAUAACUCUGGUUUGAAUUUUGAAAGAUUUAUGCCCCUUUUUAACUUAGAAUUUUUAGCUCACCUGAGCACGAAGUUUUCAAAGGUGAGCUUUAGUGAUCACCCUGUGUCCGGCGUCCGUCGUCGUCCGUCGUCCGUCCGUCCGUCCGUCGUCAACAAUUUGACUGUUAACACUCUAGAGGUCACAUUUUUGACCCAAUCUUAAUGAAACUUGGUCAGAAUGUUACCCUCAAUAAAAUCUUGGACGAGUUCGAUAUUGGGUCAUCUGGGGUCAAAAACUAGGUCAUCAGGUCAAAUCAAAGGAAAAGCUUGUUAACACUCUAGAGGUCACAUUUUUGGCCCAAUCUUAAUGAAACUUGGUCAGAAUGUUACCCUCAAUAAAAUCUUGGACGAGUUCGAUAUUAAGUCAUCUGGGGUCAAAAACUAGGUCAUCAGGUCAAAUCAAAGGAAAAGCUUGUUAACACUCUAGAGGUCACAAUUUUGGCCCAAUCUUAAUGAAACUUGGUCAGGAUGUUACCCUCAAUAAAAUCUUGGACGAGUUCGAUAUUGGGUCAUCUGGGGUCAAAAACUAGGUCACCAGGUCAAAUCAAAGAAAAAGCUUGUUAACACUCUAGAGGUCACAUUUUUGGCCCAAUCUUAAUGAAACUUGGUCAGAAUGUUACCCUUAAUAAAAUCUUGGACGAGUUCGAUAUUUGGUUAUCUGGGAUCAUAAACUAGGUCACCAGGUCAAAUCAAAGGAAAAGCUUGUUAACACUGUUGAAGCCGCAUUUAUGACUGUAUCUUCAUGAAACUUGGUCAGAUUGUUAAUAUUGAUGAUCGUAAGGUCCAGUUUGAAUCUGGGUCAUGUAGGAUAAAAAACUAGGUCACCAAGCCAAAUCAAAUGAAAAGCUAGUUUACACUAGAGGCCACAUUUAUGACCAUACCUUAAUGAAACUUGGUCAAAUCUUGAUGAUCUAUAGCUCAAGUUCAAAUCUGGGUUAGGUGGGUCAAAAACUAGGUCACUAGGUCAUACCAAAGGAAAAGCUUGUUAACACUCUAGAGGCCACAUUUAUGACUAUAUCUUCAUGAAACUUAGUCAGAAUGUUAAACUUGAUGAUCUUUAGGGCAAUUUUGAAUCUGGGUCAUGUCGGGUCAAAAACUAGGUCACCGGGUCAAAUCAAAGGAAAAGCUAAUUAACACUGUAGAGGCCACGUUAUGACCAUAUCUUAAUGAAACUUGGUCAGAAUGUUAAUCUUGAUAAUCUUUAGGUCAAGUUUAAAUCUGGGUCAGAUGGAGUCAAAAACUAGGUCACUAGGUCAUAUCAAAGGAAAAGCUUGUUAACACUCUAGAGGCCACAUUUUUGACUAUAUCUUCAUGAAACUUAGUCAGAAUGUUAAACUUGAUGGUCUUUAGGUCAAGUUCGAAUCUGGGUCAUGUCGGGUCAAAAACUAGGUCACGGGGGUCAAAUAAAAGGAAUAGUUAGUUAACACUUUAGAGGCCACAUUUAUGACCAUAUCUUAAUGAAACUUGGUCAGAAUGUUAAUCUUGAUGAUCUAUAGGUCAAGUUUAAAUCUGGGUCAGGUGUGUUAAAAAACUAGGUCACUAGGUCAAAUCAAAGGAAAAGCUUGUUAAGACUCUAGAGGCCAGAUUUAUGACUGUAUCUUCAUGAAACUUAAUCAGAAUGUUAAUCUUGAUGAUCUUUAGGUCAAGUUAGAAUCUGGGUCAUGUGGGGGCAAAAACUAGGUCACCGGGUCAAAUCAAAGGAAAAGCUAGUUAACACUUUAGAGGCUACAUUUAUGACCAUAUCUUAAUGAAACUUGGUCAGAAUGUUGAUCUUGAUGAUCUUUAGGUCAAUAGGUCAGGUGAGCGAUACAGGGCCUUCAUGGCCCUCUUGUUUGUUAAUGUUUUUAUUAAGUCAAAUAUCUCUGAUACUAUCAAAGCUUUUGACUUGAUUUACUAUCAAAGUCUACACCAGGAGAAACAAUCCUCAUAACUUAGAUAUGAAUUUUGACAGAGUUAUGCCCCCUUUUAACUUAGAAUUUUUUGGUUAAAGUGUUAUAUAAUGUCAAUAUCUCUGUUACUAUCAAAGCUAUUAACUUGAAACUUUAAAUAGUUAUUUACCAUCAAAGGCUAUAUACACCAUAAGAAACAAUCCACACAACUUUGAUUAGAAUUUUGACAGAUUUAAGUCAAGCUCUGAGGAAAGUGGAGCGUGCUGUCUUACGGACAGCUCUUGUUUAUGUUGCUGUAAAGGAAAUUUUGACCUUUAGCAUGCUAGAUAAAUUGUCGUCUGCUGGAAAUGUCGUCUGCUAAAAUUGUAAAGUUCAUUCAAUUUGCUCCAAAAUUGGAAGAAAUAUUGUCAGAGCAGCAAACAGCUUGGAACCUGAUCAGACGCCGAUUUAAUCGGCGUCUGAUCUGGUUCCAAGCUAUUUGCAAAGGCUGUUAAAUUCGCCUGCAGCAGGCUAAGGGUUAAUUCAAGGGUAAUAUAGGAGUCAUCUUUUGGUUGGUCAUGCAGUCAGAUGCAUUGUCUUUUGAUCUGUUAUAAUAAAAAUAAGGUACUAAAUACUUCAACACUUUGAAUAUUCCAGUGAAAAUUCAUCCACUGGACCAUCAUAAAGUAUAGAUAUGCAUGACAUUUUUAGGGUCUGCCAAAACAUUGCUGAGUAAAGACAUUUAUUUAUCCCCUACCAGUUGAAAAACAGAUUUAGGGACUUUAUCUUUGUCAUACAGUUCAGCCAUAAUAACUUAAAAGAAGGAACUGUAAUAUAACUUGGCAAAACUGUUCCUCAUAAUGAGGUGAUGUGCCAUAAGCAAACCUAUAAACUAAGCUUAAAGGUCAAGGUCACUCUUGGAGCUCAAGCUGAACGGUCAGAAAGUUUUGUUUUUUAGCUCACCUGAGCACGAAGUGCUCAAAGGUGAGCUUUUGUGAUCACCCUGUGUCCGUCAGUCGUCUGUCAUCAACAAUUUGACUGUUAACACUCUAGAGGUCACAAUUUUGGCCCAAUCUUAAUGAAACUUGGUUAGAAUGUUAACCUCAAUAAAAUCUUGGAUGAGUUCGAUAUUGGGUCAUCUGGGGUCAAAAACUAGGUCACCAGGUCAAAUCAAAGGAAAAGCUUGUUAACACUCCUGAGGUCACAAUUUGGGCCCAAUUUUAAUAAACUUGGUCAGAAUGUUACCCUCAGUAAAAUCUUAGACGAGUUCGAUACUGGGUCAUCUAGGGUCAAAAACUAGGUCACCAGGUCAAAUCGAAGGAAAAGCUUGUGAACACUCUAGAGGUCACAAUUUUGGACCACUUUUAAUGAAACUUGGUCAGAAUGUUACCCUCAAUAAAAUCUUGGACGAAUUUGGUAUUGGGUCAUCUGUGGUCAAAAACUAAGGUCACCAGGUCAAAUCAAAGGAAAAGAUUGGUAACACUGUAGAGGCCAUAUUUAAGACUGUAUCUUCAUGAAACUUAGUCAGAAUUUUAAUCUUGAUGAUCUUUAGGUCAAGUUCGAAUCUGGGUCAUAUGGGGUCAAAAACUAGGUCACCCGGUCAAAUCAAAGGAAAAGCUAGUUUACACAGUAGAAGCCACAUUUAUGUCCGUUUCUUAAUGAAACUUGGUCAGAGUGUUAGUCUUGAUGAUCUAUAGGUCAAAUUCAAAUUUGGGUCAGGUGGGGUCAAAAACUAGGUCACUAGGUCAAAUCAAGGAAAAGCUUAUUAACACUCUAAAGGCCACAUUUAUGACUGUAUCUUCAUGAAACUUAGUCAGAAUGUUACUCUUGAUGAUCUUUAGAUCAGGGUCAAAUCUGGGUCAUGUGGUAUCAAACACUAGGUCACUGGGUCAAAUCAAAGGAAAAGCUAUUUAACACUUUAGAGGCCACAUUUAUGAUCAUAUCUUAAUGAAACUUGGUCAGAAUGUUAAUCUUGAUCAGGGGUUCCAUUUGACCCGGGACCCCGGGUCCGGACCCGGGAGAUUUUCAAAAGAUGCUCAAAGGACCCGGCAGAAUACUUGCCUGUGCGUCCUUCGGGACCCGGGGGUAUUUUCCUUUGAUAAUCCUUUCUCUUAUCAUUAAUCUCUUUCAGUAAAACUAUUCCACGAUAGACACGUGUAUUCAAAAUAAACACUCGCGGUCAUGCUCUCCUGCCUUUGAUCUCUGCUAAAUCCCGCCCUUUCUCCUGUAGACAUGCCUCGCUGAUUUUUUGUCAGCAAGUUACGUCACGGCGAGUGCACAUAGGUAACAAGAAAUCAAUGAAGUGUUGAAAUUAAUUGAUAAAGCGAAUCCUGUGUACUGUCAAAAAAGGCGCCAAUUAUUAAAUUAUCGUAAGCAGCUGAUUACCGAGCAUGUGAGAAGUGCCCUGCAAGAUUUUUUCAUGCCAACUUUAAAUUAGACCAUUGUUUAGUGAUCAUAUCGUAAUUUCAACAAGAAACAUCACAAAUUUUGAUGAAUUUCGAAAGCAAAAAUAAGUUUAGAAUGUCCGUUCACGGGUCUAAUUACACCCGAUGUCAUAUGCAUAUUUCCAAAAUUCCUAAAAAAACCUGACUUUCAGUGCAGUUUUUUAUGAUAAGUAGCAUCAUUACUUGAGAAACUAUCGCUGAUUUAGAUUUGUUUGCCAAAUAAACUGAGCAAAAACUACUUUCUGAUGACAUUCUGAAAGUGUAACAGUAUUCGGAUAGUACAUUUUGGAUACAUUUUUCUAGAGUGUUACAGCACUGUUCUGUUAUUAAAAAUGAAAUGAAAUAUUGAAGAAAAACCUAAUUAAAAUAACAUGAAUUUUGAUAAAUAUUAGUUUACAAUAUGAGACUAUAUGACCUGAGACUGACAUUUUUAUUAUGCUGUAACAUGAUCUUGGGUUUAUUGUUUUCUUAGGUAAAGAUCUAUGUAUUACUGAAUAAAAAAUAUAGUAAAUUAUAUUGACGUGUUGGGACAGGACUCCUGUAUUUUGGAAAAGGACCCUUCAAAAUUUGGGCCCAAGGGUCCUGGGACUCUUGGGUUUUCGGGUCUAGUGGAACCCCUGAUCUUGAUAAUCUUUAUGUCAAUAGGUCAGGUGAGCGAUACAGGGCCUUCAUGCCCCUCUUGUUUUCCUAUUAGGUCUGUAACUGAACCAUCUGCCAAGGGAUUUUAUUAUUACUUGAUAGAAAUAAGCACAGCUUCCAGACCCUUAGCUUGAAAACUUAAAUCACAAUAUUUGGUGGAAGGUUAACAUGGAUUAACAUGGGUCUGUUUUUUGUCAAGUCGAUGACAUAGACUCUACCAUCUAUCAAGAGAUUUUACUAUUGGCACAGAUAAUUUUCAUAAUCAGUGAUAAUGAGAUAACAUGUGUGCAACAACUGUAGAUUUUCAGAUAUGCAAAAAUUCUGAUCCAAGCAUUUUAGGCUAUAACAUAUUGCAUAAUAGAAUGCUAUAGACAACAUUAACGGAUAUCAGGUCAUUAGAUAAUAUGCUGUAGUUGAGAUAGUUAGUAAAUUUCCAGGUGGGUUUCUCUGUAUUACAAGUCUAAACUUUAUUUACCUGUUUCCUCUGACCAAGCAGUACUGCAGGGGUAAUAAUCAUAUUAAGUGUAAUAGCUCUAGUUUAAUACAUAAAAUAUAUAAAAUUGUUAAAGUUUCUUCAAAUAAAUUUAUAAUUCAGUCAUGAACUGAUAUGGAAUUUAAAUGUUCAAAAGUGCUGUACAAAAAAUAUUAUCUGUCUGAUAGGACUUGGUUAAGGUGGACACAAUAUUAAACUCCACAAAAAUUAGCUCACAACAAAUAUUUCGCAGUAAUAAAGUCUGAUGUCUAUAUGUUUUGUUUUCCCAAAAAUUACUUUAUUAUGUAUAUUUGUGACAUGUUUUUGUUAAGAUUUUUAUGUAUUACAAAUUGUGGCCAUGCAAAGCCAGUAUGAUUUUAUACUAGAUUGUAAUACAGAAGGCAGAGGGAUUUUGUUUUGGCUUUGUCCGUCCAUCUGUUCGUCAAUCCGUCCAUCUGAAAUCUAAAAUGCUUACAAGUCAAAAAUUAUUUUAGCUAGUAUCGCCAAACCUUUUUUUUUUAGCACACGGCCUUGCUAACAUUUAGCAUUAUCCCUCUUGACACAGUAAAAGCAGAUUUUCCCCCUUGAUUUGGUAAAAAAAAAUGAAAAUGAUUAUAAUUCAAGAAGUACUUUAGCUAGAAUUAUCAAACCUCAUAUAAUUAUUAACUAGCAAAUGACCUUUGUUCACAUUUAGUAUUAUUAUCCUUGCCCCAGUAAAAGCAAAGUUUUUCCCCUUGACUUUGUAAAAAAUAAGGACUUUUUUUUUACUGCAACCAAGUAACUAUUGAUGGAUCUUCCUGAAACUUUACAAAAAUGUAGAUCAUGAUAGGAAGAUGAUGCGCAUAUAACUUUUGUCAGGAUUACUUCAGUAACCAGAGUUAUAUUGCCCUUUAAUUGUUUUACAAUCUAUAAAUGCCUACAUAGCAAAGUAAUACAUUGAUGAAUCUUCAAGAAAUUUAAAACAAGUUUAAAUAACUGUAGGGAAGUGGCCUAUUCAUAUCUUUCAAAAUACAGUAUUCACAAAAACAGCCUGUUUGGCUGGGGAUAUAAAUUCACUGUUUUUGCUUGUUGUGAAUUUAUUUAUCUUCAUUUUUUAUCAGUCUUUACAUGAUUAUGUAUUUACUGUAUUUCCAUUUUUUCAAUAUUUAACUUUAACUUCAAUGAUGGGAAUCAAACUACUUAAGAUAAUCUCACUUAAAAAAAUAGAUUAACAAUGUUACUGACACUUUAACAGCAAUGUAAAAAUUACUUAUCCAAGAAAUAAAGGCUGUAUACAUUACAUUAUGAGAUUAAUUCUCAUCAAAGACACAGCAAAUAAUGAGAAUGCAGGUAUAAUAAUGUGUUGACCAAAAUGACCAGUACCGGUAUAUCUCCAUUCUAUUUUAAUCAUGUUAUAUUGUAACUUAUUUUAGCUCGAUGAAUGAUUAAAAAUUUCUUCAGUCGUUAUAAGAAAAAAAUCAAGAAAGAGGUUUAUGAUUCACAAACAGGUGACUUGUAUGUUGAGACGUAGGUCCACUUGGCAUGUAAUAUGUGAAUUGCAGCUCACAUUUAUAGUCAAAUUCUUCUUAUGUUGAAGGAAUUACCAUAGAUUUUUGUAAAAAGAUUGUGACGCUUGAUAGAUUAAGGUCAAAAGCUUCCAAAAUUCAGAAAGUACUUCCAUAUUUGUUGACAAUUGUAAAAACAGUGGAACCUGUGUUACUUAAACCAGCCAAGGGAGCAACUCAGUAUGGCUGCUUAAUGUACUGCAGCUGAUUGCUGACAGAACAGUUGAAAUUUCAGCAAAAAGUCAAUCUUGGAAGUCAUCUUACUGACCGUUUAAGGCAAGUAGCUGCUUAAUACAGGUGACUGACUAUAUUUUAAGGUAAAAAUAAAAUGAUCCAGUGUGAACUUAUAAAAAAUACUUAUUCUGCAAAAAAGUGUUUAAUAGAUCUGUACUGUGUUAGUCACACGGUAAAAAAUUUGAUGUUUCUUAGGGAAAAAUAGAAGUAAUUUAUAUGAACUGUAUAAUUACCAUGCUCUUUCAAUAUUGACAUUAAAAUGAUACUGAUUUAUGGAGUUUGCUAUUUUAUAGAUGCUGCUUCUCAUUUUAACAAUUUUAAUAUUGUGUUUAAAUCUGGACACACUUUUUUUUAGUCCACAGAUCUACAAAUAAUGUAUAAUGUAAUACUGUAUAAGCCAUUUCAUGUAUAAAUUAACCAGCUAGUAUCUUUGUAUGUAAAGUUAUUUAUUACAUUGUUGUAUCACAGUGUCAUGUAAAUGUUAACAAUAAAAUAUUGAAAUAAAUGUUUGUCAUGUAGAAGUGUUAAGUUUUUUUUGUAGGUAGGGAAAUGAAGUAAGUGUCUAUAUUGAUAUAAAGCUUCCCCAAAGUAGUCUUUCUUC